AUCCAGCAGACGAGUCCCAAAUAGGACGAAACGUACAUCCUGAAU
rnacentral:hammerhead_ribozyme from 1 species